AAGGGGGGGGAGCAAAGUGUGCCUGCUCUCCGCUGUCACAGGAGCGGCGAGUCCAGCGACCUGGCUGUUUCGUUUUUGCCGAAAGCACAGCGUAGCAAGCAAGCAGAACUCAAAGUAAAGAAUCGAUCUAACCAGGCCAGUAUCGAUUCGAUACCGAUCCCGACUUGGGAUCGAUACUAUCGAUAUUUGGAUCGAUCCGCCCACCACUAGCGCCGGGGAUGUUUGUGUAAACAAGAUCCAGCGUGUUUUCCCCUCUCGUUGCAAAGUCCACAUACUGAUGGAAUCUAGGAAGCACUGACUUGAGAUUUGCAUGGUUGAAAUCUCCAGCACCAAUGAACAGUCCAUCCGGAGCAGAAAACCAUCACAGCUGAGUCUGGACAGGACGUCACUCUGACAUGUCGAGCUCCAAGCAACAUCAUCAUCACAGCUGUAGAGUGGAUCAGAGCUGACCUGUUACCAGAAUAUGUGCUUUUGUACCUUGAUGGACACUUUAUUCCAGACGACCAGCAUCCAUCUUUUAAGGAUCGGGUGGAUCUGCAGGACAGACAGAUGAAGGAUGGAGACGUGUCUUUGAUUCUGAAGAAUGUGACGAUUAAUGAUGCUGGAACAUACGAGUGUCGAGUUGAUGUGAGAGAAACACGCUUAUGGGAUCUCAGCAUCAUUUAUCUUAGUGUUGUUGAUCCUCCAGGUGAGUGAGUAGAGUUGAGUGUGUGUGUGAUCAGAGGUGAAGCUGCUUCCUGGUUGUUGAUGUUUGUUUGUUGUAUGGAUGAGCUGGUGGAUGUCAGAGGUAGACAGAUGUUUCUCCAGCUGUUGUCUUUGUGGCUGGUAGUCUAGAGUUGUAGAGCAGCAUUGUUUGGGUAAGGUUAGAGCAGAAACAAAGACAUUUAUGAAUCAGUCUCUUCUUCUCUUGCUCUCUAACUCGUCUGUAAACAUGUGUGGGGAAACUCAAUGUUAAAGCCUACAGCUGGAGGGGGAGGGGAGGGGUGAAGCUGGUGGUUGUGAGUCUGUGAAAGUGAAUCCUGCCGGUGCCAUAGCUGCUGAAAACGUACUUAGUGCAGACACAAAACGUCCAUCAGCUUCAAAGUGUGUCAGAAAAAUGUCCACAUGAUGACUGAUGGAUGAGAGAGGUCCCAUUUUUGUUGUUGUGCACAAAUCAUUGAACAACACAAACACUUAGAGCUCCUUUCAGUGCUGCCUGUUUUGUUACUGCACACAUUUCUGAUGGUCCUACAGUCCAACGUAGCAAACAUCUCCCUGAAGCCUCUUCAUAGAGACCAAAGGUUGGAUCAGAGCAGCUGAAAGGACACAUCUAUGAAUGCAGUCAGAGACUUUCUCACAACCUCACACUUCAUCUGAUCACAUUUAGACUCAGAUUUAGAGUCAAUGUGGACACCAUCAUGUCAUCUUUGGCUCCUCCAGCUGAGACACACCUUCACAGACACACAGCCCCUCCCCUCACUAACAGCUGGAUCACUGUCACAGGUGACACACUCACCUGUCUGUGUUUCUGCAGGUUUCAACAUUCACAAUGUGACGACAACUUAAUGACUGUGUUUGCUUUAUUUUAGACAAACACACCACCACAUCUCCACCUACAUCGAGCAGCACACCUCCACCUACAUCCACACCUCCACCUACAGUGAGCAGCUCACCUCCACCUACAUCCACACCUCCACCUGCAUCGAGCAGCUCACCUCCACCUACAUCCACACCUCCACCUGCAUCGAGCAGCUCACCUCCACCUACAUCCACACCUCGACCUGGUUCCACCUCCAUCACUCUUCCUCUGUCACUUUCUGCUCCUCCUCUUUCUGUGCUGUUGCCUGUUGGAUCGGUCUAUGUUUUGGUUCUACUGGUGUUACUGGUUCUGCGGGAGAGACGAUGUGUUUACAGGAAACUUGAAGCAGAUGGAGAAGAUGACAUCACCAGUAGCAUCACAUACAUUGUUGUGAAAUCAUCAACCUCCAAUCCAACAAAUCAGAGAUGGAGAGACUGAUUCAGCUGUGAUCUACUCAGCAGUGAGAAGUGAAGAUGUCAGUUAUGGACAAACAACCAUCAGAACAAGGAGGCCCAGUUUCCCCGGACCUUUGUAAUCUGCCGUUUGGGAUGUAACUGAGUUGCUGUGUGGAACCGUGAGGUGGAGCACGAGCACGAGAGAACCAUUCCCUUUCUCCGACCUCCCUUUUGGACCCUUGGAACCCCGGAUUUCC